UACGUAGGGGGCAAGCGUUGUCCGGAAUCAUUGGGCGUAAAGCACGUGUAGGCGGCUUGGUAAGUCCGCUCUGAAAGCCCGGGGCUCAACCCCGGGAGGCGGGUGGAUACUGUCAAGCUCGAGUCCGGAAGAGGCGAGUGGAAUUCCCGGUGUAGCGGUGAAAUGCGCAGAUAUCGGGAGGAACACCAAUGGCGAAGGCAGCUCGCUGGGACGUGACUGACGCUGAGACGCGAAAGCGUGGGGAGCAAACAGG
rnacentral:rRNA from 1 species